CAUUUGUUCUCUAAAUAGGGACUUGUAUGAAUGGCCACACGAGGGUUUUACUGUCUCUUACUUCCAAUCAGUGAAAUUGACCUUCCCGUGAAGAGGCGGGGAUGAACCAAUAAGACGAGAAGACCCUAUGGAGCUUCAACUAACUAGCCCAAAGAAAACAAAUACAACCACCCAAGGAAUAAAAAACUCUCUAUGGGCAUAGCAGUUUCGGUUGGGGUGACCUCGGAGAACAAAAAAUCCUCCGAGCGAUUUUAAAGAUUAGACCUACAAGCCAAAUCACUCUAUCGCUUAUUGAUCCAAAAACUUGAUCAACGGAAUAAGUUACCCUAGGGAUAACAGCGCA
rnacentral:rRNA from 1 species